rnacentral:rRNA from 1 species
AACGAACGCUGGCGGCAUGCCUAAUACAUGCAAGUCGAACGAUCACUUCGGUUGUAGUUGCGCACGGGUGCGUAACGCGUGGGAAUCUGCCCUAGGGUUCGUAAUAACAUCGGGAAACUGAUGCUAAUACCGGAUGAUGACGUAAGUCCAAAGAUUUAUCGCCCAGGGAUGAGCCCGCGUAGGAUUAGCGAGUUGGUGGUGUAAAGGCCUGCCAAGUCGACGGUCCUUAGCUGGUCUGAGAGGAUGAUCAGCCACACUGGGACUGAGACACGGCCCAGUCGCCUACAGGAGGCAGCAGUAGAGAAUAUUGGACAAUGGGGGAGAGCCUGAUCCGGCAAUGCCGCGUGAGUGAUGAAGGUCUUAGGGUUGUAAAGCUCUUUUACCCGGGAUGAUAAUGACAGUACCGGGAGAAUAAGCCCCGGCUAACUCCGUGCCAGCCGCCGCCGUAA